rnacentral:lncRNA from 1 species
GCACGACGGGGCUGCGAGGCUGUAACGUGGGCGGAUGACAGGUCGGGCAGGGGGUUAGGCGCGGCCGUGUACGGUGUCCCCAGCCCGGAGAUGGUGCGGGGACAGCUUGAGGGCAGGAGCCGGAAGGAUAUCUACCUGCCGGGCGCCGGGUGCCGGGUGCCGGGUGCCGGAUGGCUAGCUAGCAGCUGUUGCGGCUGGAUCGCGGGGCGGUCGGUGUCGUCACGCAACGGCAAGCGCGG